rnacentral:rRNA from 1 species
UACGUAGGAGGCGAGCGUUGUCCGGAGUUACUGGGCGUAAAGGGUGCGCAGGCGGCGUCACGCGUGGCUAGAUGAAAUCUCCUGGCUUACCUGGGAGGGUGGUAGCCAGACGGUGGCGCUUGAGGGUCGGAGAGGGGCGUGGAAUUCCGGGUGGAGCGGUGAAAUGCGUAGAGAUCCGGAGGAACACCGAUGGCGAAGGCAGGUCUCUGGGCCAUAACUGACGCUGAGACACGAAAGCGUGGGUAGCAAACAGG